rnacentral:rRNA from 1 species
GUCCUGGCUGUAAACGAUGGACACUAGGUGUUGGUGGUAUCAACCCCGCCAGUGCCGUAGCUAACGCAUUAAGUGUCCCGCCUGGGGAGUACGGCCGCAAGGCUAAAACUCAAAGGAAUUGACGGGGCCCGCACAAGCAGCGGAGCGUGGGGUUCAAUUCGACGCGACGCGAAGAACCUUACCAGGGCUUGACAUGGUCAGGACAGCGGCGGAAACGUCGUCUCCCCGCAAGGGGCCUGAUCACAGGUGUUGCAUGGCUGUCGU